UACAGAGGUCUCAAGCGUUGUUCGGAUUCAUUGGGCGUAAAGGUGCGUAGGCGGCGCGGUAAGUCGGGUGUGAAAUCUUGGAGCUUAACUCCGAAACUGCAUUCGAUACUGCCGUGCUUGAGGACUGGAGAGGAGACUGGAAUUUACGGUGUAGCGGUGAAAUGCGUAGAUAUCGUAAGGAAGACCAGUGGCGAAGGCGGGUCUCUGGACAGUUCCUGACGCUGAGGCACGAAGGUCAGGGGAGCAAACGGG
rnacentral:rRNA from 1 species